CGCCUCUUGAAUAAAUAUAAGAGGUCCAGCCUGCCCAGUGACCAUGUUCAACGGCCGCGGUAUCCUAACCGUGCGAAGGUAGCGUAAUCACUUGUUCUUUAAAUAAGGACUAGUAUGAACGGCACCACGAAGGUUACACUGUCUCCUCUUUCUAAUCAGUGAAACUAAUCUCCCCGUGAAGAAGCGAGGAUAAUAAUAUAAGACGAGAAGACCCUAUGGAGCUUUAAACUACAAGACACUUGCUUAAACAUAACUAAAUUUCAGAAAACCUCCCCAUAUUCCAGCAAGAUGACCUUUAGUUUUAGGUUGGGGUGACCGCGGAGAAAAAAACAACCUCCACAUUGAAAGGAGCCAACUCCUUAGCCAAGAGCUACACCUCUACGCACCAACAAAAAGACAUUAAUUGACCCAAUAUUUUGAUCAACGAACCAAGUUACCCUAGGGAUAACAGCGCAAUCCACUUCAAGAGCCCAUAUCGACAAGUGGGUUUACGACCUCGAUGUUGGAUCAGGGUACCCCGGUGGUGCAGCCGCUACCAAAGGUUCGUUUGUUCAACGAUUAAAACCCUA
rnacentral:rRNA from 1 species